GUGUAACCCUGGCCAACUGCACUGAAAGAGGAAACGAAAAUGAAAGUUCAAAAUCGGCAGAGCAUGAAAGCUUUCGAGCGCUGUUCGCUCCUCUUCGUGCUUCUCUGGUCUUGAGUCUUACGGCUUCCUAUUUUCUCCUUAGUAUGUGUUUUUAAGAAAAGCUUCUACAGCCCACCCUCAGCAUUUCGGAUUCCUUCAACAGAAUGCUUGAUUCCUGGCUUCCAGAAUGAUUAGAGAACACAUUCUCCAUGUCACUAAGCUGGUGGCACUUUGUCAUAACCACCUUGGGAAACAGCCCAAGGAGCAACUUGAACACAGAGUGGUAAGACAAGAGCCCACAGCUGGUAUAUGCAAACAGGUACACGGAGCAAUAGCAAGUUUACAAGGACGCCGUGGCCUUUGUUUCUACAGUUCUUGUCUGGAUUCUAUUCGGGGACAUACUGUAAGAAGAAACCUUUAUUAUCUUCAGCACUUUCAACCAACAGAAAUCCAGCCUUGUGGUGGCUAGUACAAAAAGGGACUCGAAGGAUCUAGAUCAGUAGUUCUCACCGGUAGGUUGUGACCCCUUUGGUGUGGAAUAUCAGCUAACAUUAGGAUUUAUAUCAGUAGCAAAAUUUUAGUUAUGAUGUGGCAACAAAAUAAUUUUAUGGUUGGUGGGGUCACCACAAGAUGAGGAACUGCAUUAAAGGGUCACAGCAUUGGGAAGGCUGAGAACCACUGCUCUAGAUUCCUCUUUACCAAGUUGGAAUAAAAAUGAAUUUAGAAUUGAGAGGCAAAAUAUCAAUUUAUGGCACAAAGUUCCUAUCUAGUUGACCAGAUCGGGUGAGAAACCCACUUCUCUACUAAUUAGGGAAGUGUUGUUUGAGUGUUCAUAGACUGGGGGCCAGAAGUGAGAAGGACUUCCUCAAAAGAGACAGGAGCUCUCUCCCCAAAAGAAAACUAAAAAAGGUUCCAAGGAAAAUGUUUUCCUGGGCUACUCAAAUGGGUAAAGGCACUGCUUCCAGACCUGACAGCCUCAAUUCAAUCCCAGGGAUCUACACGGAAGGAAAGAACUAACUCGCGAAAGGUUCCUCGCGCUGUGUGCUGUGACAUAAGGGGUGUGUGUAAGCACGCUGGCUCAUGCGCACACUCACUCACUGACAGUUCUGCUCAAUGUCAAUCAGCUCUCCUGUGUGCCACCACAAACAUGCCCCUCAUCCUCAGUAGAAGAAAACUCAUCCAGCUACCGAAUUUAAGCUCAAAUUCAGAAAUCCCUGAACACAGUCCAUUUUGAUCGGCUCCAGUUGUGGCCGAAUGAUGUGAUGGAUUCAUCGUCACUAUACGACUGUGUGUGUGCUAAAGAAGAUGGAAACAAUGAGGAGGAGCAGCAAGUGACGGGAUUUUGUAAGCUUUUCCCCAACAAGAGGAAAGGAAGUAAGGGCUGCACGUCUACAGGCGGACAAGAUCUCCAGUCACCCAGUCAGAGUUCCAAGCUUGAUUCUGCCUCAAAAACCCAGUAAGAAUGUAACAUCACUCAGCCUUCUACUUGACAGGUCUGAAACCUGGAGACAUUGCCCUUGGGAAGCGGACCACCUUCAGCAACCUUUGCACCACUGAGAACUUUCUAGAAAUGCCUUAGAACUUCCCAUGACUGUCAGCUAAUGAAUUUGAGGAACUCUAUCAGCUUGUUACCAGAAAUCUCAGAGUCAUGAAUUUUGAGCCUGAAUCUUCUUCCUCUAGUUUCUGUCUCUUGGAAACUAGCCAGUGUCCAGGGAGCUUAGUUCAGUGGCUUUUGUCGUGGACUCUCUGGGAGGUAGGAGAGGGGACAUGCUGGUGUUAUGAAGCUUGGGUAUAGCAUCGUACUCCAGCCUACAAGCUGGUUACCACUCAACUGCUGUAAUGGAAAGGACUGUGUUUAUGGUGAGGAGCAUAGAACACUUUGAGGUGGACUCCUGAGGAAUGAAGGAUCUCUGACCCAACUACUGCCUGGUCUCCACAAUCAUAGUUUACACUAACUUGAUGGGAGACAAAAAGCCUACUUGCUCUAAUUGGCACAGUAGAUACCUGAUGCCACCUGUACAGAUUAACUAGUCCACUGGCAAAAAGAACUGUGCCAAAAGAUAUGACAUAAUUUCCGUCCUAUUGCCUGUCUCUUGCAGGAUUACAAGAGGCGAGAAGAGCCUGCACAUUCCAGUAGCCUCGUUUUAAGAUCUAAGUUCCUUACAGUAAGACUUACUGAGGAUGACAGUCAUCUUAAGAUGUCUGUAGUAAAGAAUACAUUUUUUUGUAGUUUUUCUUUUACUUACUAAAACACUGUCUAUAAUUGCUUUUAUACAUAUAAAAUUGUGAUAUGAAAUUAUUAAAAAUUUGACACAUCCCUUUAUAUUUCCGUACUUAUUUCAUUGCUGACUGGAACGGCUUGUAGUGAUUUUAGUCUAUGUACUAAUUACUUUUCUCAAAGCUGUAACAAAGCAUCUGACAAAAACAAGGGAAGAGGGUUAUUUGGAC